UCCGGUUUGUCACCGGCAGUCUCAUUAGAGUGCCCUUUCGUAGCAACUAAUGACAAGGGUUGCGCUCGUUGCGGGACUUAACCCAACAUCUCACGACACGAGCUGACGACAGCCAUGCAGCACCUGUGUUCAGGCUCUCUUUCGAGCACUCCCACCUUUCAGCUGGAUUCCUGACAUGUCAAGGGUAGGUAAGGUUUUUCGCGUUGCAUCGAAUUAAUCCACAUCAUCCACCGCUUGUGCGGGUCCCCGUCAAUUCCUUUGAGUUUUAAUCUUGCGACCGUACUCCCCAGGCGGUGUACUUCACGCGUUAGCUGCGUUACCAAAUCCGUGAGGAUCCGACAACUAGUACACAUCGUUUAGGGCGUGGACUAC
rnacentral:misc_RNA from 1 species